CGCGUGGCGGCAGCCGGGGCCGGCGGAGCGCAGAGCGGCAGCACCGGCGGGGCGGGCUGAGCUGAGCUGAGCUGAGCUGAGGCGGCGCCGUGCCUUUCCUUUCCUUUCUUCCCUCCCUCCCUUCCUUCCUUCCGCGCGCUCACUUGUUGCUCUGCAACCGGACUUCUGCAGCGGCGACGGCACUUCUUCUCGCGUCCUGCCCGAGCUAGGCAGUCUAGACGGGGAGACAUCUGAAAAACUUUCCUUAACUAAGCAGAGUGUGAGUAAACACAAUUUUUUGAUAAUAUGUCUAGUAUUCCAGUUGAAAGGUCCACAGAUUGAAUUUGCUUUUAAUAUGCUCUUGUGGUUGCAUUUCAAAUAUGUUUAAGUUUCUCAAGAUCUGAACAGAUGCUUAGUAAGAUUUUCAAAGGCCUUUAACUUGCUUAGGUGCCUUUGAAAAUCCCUGUAAGGUAUCUGUGCGCCCUUAAUCUCAAUAGACAUGCAACUCUGUAGAACCUGUUGUUCAGCAUUCCAGACUUGAACAAGGUCUGGAGUUUCUGACUUCUAUUCACGUUCCUGCAGAUGUAUUUACUGCAGCUGGGAAUACUCGGAAUGCUGACUGCAACUGUGUAAGUGUGAAAUGGGUCAGUUUUAAAUCUGACCCUCAAUAAUGCAGGAGUACAAUGUCGUAGAAUCAUAGAAUGGCCUGGGUUGAAAAGGACCACAAUGACCAUCGGGUUUCAACCCCCCUGCUAUGUGCAGGGUCGCCAACCACCAGACCAGGCUGCCCAGAGCCACAUCCAGCCUGGCCUUGAAUGUCUCCAGGGAUGGGGCAUCCACAGCCUCCUUGGGCAACCUGUUCCAGUGCGUCACCACCCUCUGUGUGAAAAACUUCCUCCUAAUAUCCAACCUAAACCUCCCCUGUCUCGGUUUAAAACCAUUUCCCCUUGUUCUAUCACUAUCCACCCUUGUAAGCAGCUGUUCCCCUUCCUGUUUAUAUGCUCCUUUCAAAUAUUGGAAGGCCACAGUGAGGUCUCCCCCGGAGCCUUGUGUGAGUAUGAUGAUGCUGGCAGGUAGUAUCACAGAGGAAAUUUGAGCAAACAUACUAAUUUAAUAAGAUUAAAUAUCUCUACUUGCAAUCUCAGUAUUUUUCUUUUUUAGUUUUAUUUUUUUUUUAGUGGAAGGGCUAAAGACUGCAGUGUCAAAUGAAGGCAGUGUGGAUAAGUCUCCUCAAGAAUGCGAAUCUGCCAAUUAAGUUUCACUCUGAGAACCAGUUAGUCUGUUACUUUUUUCCACUUUUUUUUGCAUUCUGCAGGGCUGUCUUUAUGUAACAAAGAAAAAUAGCUAUUAACCCGAUGCAAUAGAAUGUUGCAAAUGAUGAAAUGAUUGCUGGGAAGUAAUUGUCACUGAAAUUUGUACUAUACAUUACUAAU
ensembl:lncRNA